CCAAUAACAUGAACGUUUUAGUCCCAGACAUGAAAUUAUUUUUAGCCUAUAUUACACAUGCAAGCCUCAACAAACCCGUGAAAAUGCCCACUAAAUCCUCACACAGACCAACGGAGCUGAUAUCAGGCACACCUAAUUGGUAGCCAAAAACAUCUUGCACCGCCACACCCCCACUGGGUUUACAGCAGUGACCAACCUUAAGAGAUAAACGAAAGUUUGACUUAGAUAUGCCUGCCUUGAGCUGGUAAAUCUCGUGCCAGCCACCGCGGUUAUACGAGAAGCCAUAAAUAAUACCACCACGGCGUAAAGCAUGACUAGGAGACCCAACAUAAGAAUUAAACCUCUUCCCCGUUAUGAAAUACCCAGGAAGAUCGGAAACCCAACAAUCCUUACUUUCCCCCUUACCUCAUGAAAGCUAGGACACAAACUGGGAUUAGAUACCCCACUAUGCCCAGCCCUAAACCACAAUAUCGCCAUUACCAGAUAUUCGCCAGAGAAUUACAAGCAAAUAUGCUCGAAACUCAAAGGACUUGGCGGUGUCUCACAUUCCCCUAGAGGAGCCUGUCCUAUAAUCGAUACUCCCCGCUAAACCUUACCAUCUAAGGCCAACCCAGCUUAUAUACCGCCGUCGCCAGCCUACCCACUGAGGGCUCAAAAGUAGGCAAAAUCGCUCAAACACAAAAACGUCAGGUCAAGGUGUAGCUAAUAAGAUGGCAGAGAUGGGCUACAUUUUCUAACAUAGAAAAUACGGAAAAUACAAUGAAAUUUGUAUUAAAGGCGGAUUUAGCAGUAAAGAAUAGACCAAAGAACACUAACUUUAACCAGACACUGAGACGCGCACAUACCGCCCGUCACCCUCUUCAACAAACAACUACACCAACAUAUGCCCCCCCACUUCMUUAAAAGAAGAGGAAAGU
rnacentral:ncRNA from 1 species